rnacentral:tRNA from 1 species
GCCGAGAUAGCUCAGUCGGUAGAGCAGAGGA